rnacentral:rRNA from 1 species
UCGAAGAUCUCAAAUAUGUGAGAUUACCUGCUGAACUUAAGCAUAUCAAUAAGCAGAGGAAAAGAAACUAACAAGGAUUUCCCCAGUAACGGCGAGUGAAGCGGAAAGAGCUCAAGAUAAGAAUUCCCACCGUGUUAACUCACGUGGGAAAUUGUGAUCUUGUGAUCCAGUACUAGGUUUUGAUUGCAGUGAAUAGAAGUUCGUUGGAACACGACGCCGUAGAAGGUAAAAGCCCUGUUUCGGAUUCACUAUGUACAAUAAUCAGCCAUACAGUCUGGAUUCAUCGAGUCGUGUUGCUUGGGAGUGCAGCACAAAUUGGGAGGUACAGAUCUUCUAAAGCUAAAUACCGGCGAGAGACCGAUAGCGAACAAGUACCGUGAGGGAAAGAUGAAAAGCACCUGGAAACGGGAGUGAAAUCAGAGCUUGAAAUUGUUAAGAGGCAAAAGCUGGGGAGACUUUUCUAAUUAUUUAUUUAAUGAUGCUUUGUAAGUCGAUGCUGAAAGGUUUACGAUCUUACGAUAUAAAGCCGUCAACGCAGUUUAUCUGAUUACGAGAUAUCGAUAGUAGCCCAAGGUUGUUUGCAUCCCCGCGACAAGCGGCGUGAUGUACAUCUUAACGCAUAUAAGGGCUAUUAUCACACAAGGUGUCUGGGGAUGAACUGUCCGGAUAAAACCGGAUAGUAUAAUACUACUGCUGGGCCGUGCUGUUGCAAUGCGGCGUGUAGAGAAUUCGUUCUAUGCGCGCCGCACUGCGAUAUUCCGCGUUUGCCCACUGAGGUUUAAAAACUAGUUGACGAAUUAUAAAGGCCCUCAACUACCCGUCUUGAAACACGGACCAAGGAGUCUAACAUCUAUGCAAGUAUUAUAGUACAUCAGUCGAAACUAUAAAUGCGCAGUGAAAGCGAAGGCUAAUGUAGAUUAGCUGUAGUGUGAUUUGUUGUAGUCCGCCUUAAACAAGCGGAGCAGCAAUGCAACACUAACCGAUCGUGUUAAAUCUCCCUCAGCAAUGAGGUGAUCCGAUUUGAGUUAGAGCAUAAUCGUUAGGACCCGAAAUCUUGUGAUCUAUUCCCGAACGACGGUGAAGGCAGUUGAAAAAUUGUUGGAGGCCGGGCAACAGUACUAACGUGCAAAUUGUUUGUUUGAUUUGGGACUAGGGGCGAAAGACUAAUCGAACAAGGUAGUAGCUGGUUCCCCCCGAAGUGUUCCUUCGAACAGCUGGCGUGAUGAAAUAUAAAUCCAGUUUUGCCUGGUAAAGCGAAUGAUUAGGCAUUUUGGGAGUUCUUUAUGCUCCUGGGUGCAUUCUCAAACUUUUAAUGGGCAAGAUAUGUAGUCGUUGCAUAAUCCAAUCAUGGAACCUACAUUGUUAACAGAAUGGAAAGCGCUUAGUGGGCCACUUUUGGUAAGCAGAAUUGGCGAUUCGGAUUGAACCGGACGCGUGAGUUAAGGUAUCAAAUUUCUCAUUCAUCUAGAUACUGCAAAAGGUGUUACUCAAUUUUGACAGCAGGACUGUGGUCAUGGAAGUCGAAAUCAGCUAAGAAGUGUGUAAAAACUUACCUGCUUAAUUGAGUAGUCCUGAAAAUGGAAGAUGCUAAAAUGAGAGACCUAUACUCGGCCAUUAUAUAAGCAAUUGUGAAACAAGAGAAGUAUAUAAUGUGUAGGGGGGCGUGGAGAUUCAUUACAAACAUGAUGUCGCGAAGUAUUUACCGUGAGGUAAAACGGAACAAUCUCCAGUGCAGAUCUUGGUGGGAGUAGCAAUGAUUCAAAUGUGAGCCUUUGAAGACUGAAGUGGGGAAAGGUUCCUCGGGAAACGCAUUGUACCGAGGUUUAGUCGAUCCUAACUAUUAAGUUCUAAUCUGAUUUUGAAACGCUGUACGCUGAAGAGUGGUUGGGGUUACGACCUCUUGAUCACAGCCCUGUGUACAAUAUAGGAAAGGGAAUCAGGUUAAUAUUCCUGAACCUUGAAGUGCUUGAAUUACUUUGACCUCUGUUUGUCAAACGCUAAUCGGUAACGAAAGAGACGUCCAAGCCACCAGCGCGAUACCCUGAGAGAGAUCUCUCUUCUUUAUUAACAGCUCUCGACUCCGAUGCGUUCGGGGUGUUAUUUAAUUGGUCAAACAAUUGGAUAGAGACACUGCGGAAAUACCUUGCGUAGAGAAGCAGUUGCUCGGCUGGAAAAGCACUUUCAUUUUUGAUCUGACAAUAUAUUAGAUUCAAGCUAUUGUGAUGAACUUCCCCUAGUUUAUAGUGAAUCGGUGUCGGGUGCUAUCGCAAUGGUACUUAAAAAUUGGACUGAUUGUCUGUGCCAAGUCACUUCAGGUCGUACUCAUAUCCGCAUCAGGUCUCCAAGGUGAACAGCCUCUAGUUUUUGGGUGUAUGCAGGUAAGGGAAGUCGGCAAAUUAGAUCCGUAACUUUGGAAAAAGGAUUGGCUCAAAGGGUAACGGGGGAUUUAAUUAGGUGUGGUGAGUUUGACUACGAAUGGGCAGUGUUGGUUCGCCGCGCUGCACUAAUCACACCCGAUGCCCUCGAUUUAUUACUAACUUUGAACUGAAACGGACAAGAAGAAUCCGACUGUUUAAUAAAAACAUAGCAUUGUGAUGGGGAGAAAGUCCUGUUCACACAAUGUGAUUUCUGCCCAGUGCUUCGAAUAUCAACAUGGAGAAAUUCAAACAAGUGCAGGUAAACGGCGGGAGUAACUAUGACUCUCUUAAGGUAGCCAAAUGCCUAGUCAUUUAAUUUGUGACGCGCAUGAAUGGAGCAACGUGAUUCUUACUGUCCCUAUCUGCGACUCAGCGAAACCACUGCCAAGGGAACGGGCUUGGGGAUGACAAAGGGGAAAUGAGUCCCAAUGUGCUUGACUUCAUUCAGACUUUGCGAAUUGACUCGAUUGGUGUAGAAUAUGUGGGAGAGGCAACUCGAUCGUGAAAUACCACAACUUUUGACGUUAAUUUGCUCACUUUAUUAUUAUGUUGUACACCGCAGCGAUGCGGGGUGCUAUGUAUUUACGUGGUAAGUCCGCGGCGGCAACGUCGGGGGCGAACAUGUUGGUAUAAAGGACCAAGUCUGGUGGGAAGUUUGGCUGGGGCGGCACAUCUGUUAAACAAUAACGCAGGUGUCCUAUGGCGAGCUCAGACAGAACGGAAAUCUGUCGUCGAACAAAAGGGUAAAAGCUCGCUUAAUGAUGAUUUUCAGUACGAAUACUCAUUGAGAAAUCAUGGCCUAUCGAUCCUUUCAUUGAAUUUAUCUUCUAUGAUCUGUAUAGUGAGAGGUGUCAGAAAAGUUACCACAGGGAUAACUGGCUUGUGGCGGCCAAGAGUUCAUAUCGACGUUGCUUUUUGAUUCUUCGAUGUCGGCUCUUCCUA